UGUAUUGUAGUGUAAUUAAACAUAAAGGAUUGCAAAUUCUUAGAUAUUAUCAAAUAAUCAAUACUU
rnacentral:tRNA from 1 species